GGAAUGGCAUGGUGCAAUCUUUUAUUAAUGCUCAAACUCUAUCACUUUCAGAUAUGUGGGAACCAAAGCUUGCUGCUAAAAUAGCUAAGCAACUUAAAAGAUUUCAUUAUGUGGAAAUUUCAGGUUCAAAGGAACCUCAAUUAUGGAAUGAUGUUUGGAAGUUCUCUGAGAAAGCUCUAUUAUAUUUUCUUUCUUCUAGUUUGGUCUCUGUCCGAUUCUAUUGAUGAGUUACUUCUGUAAUUUUGUUUGAAGUCAAUUUGAUUUGUUGAUUUUUAUUAUUCCUUCUUUGAAGUUUUGAAGUCCCCUUUUUAGUC